rnacentral:lncRNA from 13 species
GUGCUUUCAACGCUGGCAGAAGUAGGGUUUGAACAAAAUGCAUUCCACUCUCUCUGCCUACAGAUCUGCCUCCCUCCCCCACCCCAAAGACAAAAACUCAGAAACACCUGAGUCAGCGUCAGUAGCUGGAAAUGUAGCAGUUUAACAGCAAAUAAAACCCUGUCCAAUGGCUGAUGAAUCAAAUUAAAUUCUGAACAAACAACUCUCUGGCCGCAUCUCAGUCAGUUUCAGAAUCAAUGCAAGUGAUUUAUGGUUCCUUAGGGUUGUAUUCUCUUUGCAAUAUGCUGGGAUUUCCACACGUAGCUACCAUUUACCGCUAAUGAGCAGCACGCAUCAGUCCCUGCGCACCUGGAAGGGAACGCGCCACAUAGUCUCGUUCAGCAGCAUGGGCUCUUUCCAUGCAAAAGGGGCUCCUUGGCUGGAUAAGUUGAAAUAAGGAAAAGAGAAAGGCAGAGACUUUGAAUUGGCAUCAUCAGUAAGGCCUUCGCCUGGGAGUGAAAUGACUUUUCGAAGUUGGAACUUGAGCCUCAUCUGCUGGGGAGGAUUCUUCUUGCUGAUACAGACGUGUCUUCCUGACUGCAUGAGGUAACCAAUGAAGUCUCCAUGAAAGGCUUAAAGGACAUAGUUUGGGAGCUUCCAGAGAGCUUAAAACGUGGAGGCUGGUGGAAAGCUAUUUGUUGCAGAGAUGCCCUGGAAAGCAGGUGGUCUUCCUUAUAUGACAGCAUCUGCUGCUCAGAACGAGAGCCCGAAGAUCUAAAGGCAAAGGAAAUGAAACCGCAGUCCUAUAAAUGCCUUUUUAAAAAUAGCCUUGUUUUUUAUUAUUUUUUGUUGAAUCAACUGGAACAUUUUUAUUGUUCACAAUAAAGCAAAUUGUCUAAAGGCAAUGAUCCUCC